AAGAAUAUAGCAGAUCUAAAAAGCACCAAGUGUCUCCUAGUUUACAGUCUAUGGGAACUUGAAUAAAAUUUGUACCCUACUGUCGUGUGAAAAUUGUAUGAAUCUUAACUAGGUUGAAUUGGUUUGAAGAUACAACCUUUUAGUGAAAAUAUCAGCCAGUUCAUCUCAGCUCUGCCUAUAGCUGGACACAGAGCAGUGCAUGAAUAGGGGAGCUGCCCCUCGGACCCAGUCACAUCUGCAGCUCAGGAAGGGAUGUUAGAAGUGGCUGCCCUGAGGCUAAACACCAGGCCUCCUUCCUCCUCCAUUUUUCUGUGGAGGGAAGUGAAAUGCAGCCCAGCUCUGUCAACCAGAAACACUAUUUUGGCAGAGAGAGCUCCUGACUGUGGUUAUUUUUCCAUACUUCAUAUGGAAGAUAAAUUUUAGCUGAAUGUAGAAGAAACGUUAAUGUAUUCUAUGAUUCUCACCUCUCUCCCUACUCCUUCCAUAGAGUGAAGUUUGCUCCUUUCAUUUUGUACUUUUGAAACAUAAAAAGGACUUAACUUUCACUGAGACCUUCCUACAUACUAGAUCCAGUUUCUAGGCCAGAGGGAUAAACAUUGGAAUAACGGUCACUGCCCUCAAGAAGCUCCAAGUUCUGGUUGCCUUGGGGAAGGCCAUUAUAUCAACA
rnacentral:lncRNA from 1 species